UACGUAGGGUCCGAGCGUUGUCCGGAAUUAUUGGGCGUAAAGAGCUCGUAGGCGGUUUGUCGCGUCUGCUGUGAAAUCCCGAGGCUCAACCUCGGGUCUGCAGUGGGUACGGGCAGACUGGAGUGCGGUAGGGGAGAUUGGAAUUCCUGGUGUAGCGGUGGAAUGCGCAGAUAUCAGGAGGAACACCAAUGGCGAAGGCAGAUCUCUGGGCCGUAACUGACGCUGAGGAGCGAAAGCAUGGGGAGCGAACAGG
rnacentral:rRNA from 1 species